UGCAGGGCAGACCCAGGACGCUGCUGGGAGCCAGGAGGCAAUUGGGCAGAGAUUGAUUUUAGAGAGUCGGAGUGGGAGUGUGUAAAUCAGCUGAGGGAGAGGGCCAGGCAGCACCUUCAUGCCUCACAGCGGAGCACCAUGGUUACCUCCUAAGUCACAGGCCCUGCGUGAAACACACCUGCCCUCGUGGUGGCUGAGAGGUGUCUGGAGAAAAGAGGCUGACAGCUGCCGAGGGGCCUUCCCUAGGAAGCCCCCGUCACCACCUCAGAUGAAGUGGUCCCUGCUGUGUGCGCUGCCAGGGUCUACGAGGCAAUUCAGAAUGAGAAAUGGAACGGUGGCUUCGCAAAGGCAAAUCAUUCCAGCAGCACCUUCGAAACGUUGGAAGAAACAAGCUCUUUUUGUGUGUGUGAAAAUGGGAAAUAUAUUGUUUUUUACUGUUUCAGAGACUGUUUUCUCAUCCUCAAAUCACAAGCUGUUUUCUUCCAGCGAGACUUAUAAAUACAUCCA
rnacentral:lncRNA from 1 species